UCUAAUUAAUGCUUAUGUUUAGGUAAAUAAAGUUNGUCCCCAUCCUGUCCUUUCCAAACACCUAUAAACUGGUACUCGAGGACAGAGGUGGAGUGAGGGAGGGAGGGAUGGAGAGUCACGGCUUCCUGCAGAUUCUUCUAUUAACAAGGAAGCUGGUGCAAAGUAAAGAGGUGACGUUUCUUGCUGGUCCUAUGUCCACAGAACUGCAGGCGGAGAGCAGGGCUUCCAUGGGUGGCACUUGGAGUCUGGGGAAUGUGCAAACAUGUAAUUGCCAUCGCCACACGUCGCAGGGAUGCUGGUGUGCGUCCUCCAUUGUCUUUCUUCAUCAGAGAGCACUUACUCUCUCCCCUUUGAAACGCAGCCUUCGUUGUAUCCCUCUCCAGCUUGUAGCACAUUAGCAUGUUUAGCACUCAUUUUUGCUCAUUCUUGUAUUUGCCAUGUACAAUUCUGAAUUACCUUAUACAAGCCUCUAAGCUGUUACUACAUAACUUAUCUUACUGUAACUCUUUUCUUUGCCCAUUGUAAUUUGUUUGUGAUGUAUAUUGUGAGAUUGUAUUCUAUGUUAAUUUAAUCAGCACAACUCACUGACAUGCUGGACUGACAUGCUGGCUGCUGUUUUGAAGUGUAAAGCUUGUGCAGGGCUGUCCGGACAACUACAACUCUGUUGUCAAGGUACUGUGCAUUGGUUCCCAUAGCAACACUGUGGGUGUGACCCUUGAAAUUCUAGGGACAUUUAGCACACCCUCCAGCAAAUUUUAAGUGCAGAUUUUCUUUGUUGAAACUCUAUGAAUACCACAGGUACCUAUGUGGCCCAUGGCUGGUAACUAUUUUGGGCAAUUAGAAAAACAAACAAGCAUUAAAAAAAUAGUGUCUAUUGCUGCUUUGAAUAUGUUUGAAAGUCUGAAAAUGUAAAUAGUUUAUCAAAAAAAAAUCUUGUACAGUCCAGUGUAAAGUUUUUAAAUGACCUGAAGGGUUACCAUCACAGCUUUCGCACACUCUCCUCUGGAUAGUGAUAAAAAGAAGUUUGCUAAGGACUUAAAGAAUUGGAAAAAAAACAAAACAACAGAAUCUCUUCCAACAGAAAGGAGUGGCUCAUGGCCCCUAGCUUUGUCACAUACACAGACCUCUUGGAUCUUGUUGGACAGUAUUGGCAUGAGACAAACUCAGCAUGGAACACCCUCCAGUGGGACUUGUUCAGGGCUUUCCUGCUCUGCCUCACGAUUAAGGGACAGGAUGAGAUAGAAAGGCACGCCGUCUUUGUCUAUCCUGGAAUAUGUUGGCACCUUAGCUACUUCCCCCCUUUGCACAAGGUGCUUUCCCGAUCUGUGUUAGACACGCCAUCUUGGGUGAUGAUGUAUAUGCCAUGAGAGGGCUCAGGCCCGCGGGGAGUGUCUAUAGGAACUGCCUAUUUAUGCUCAUUUACCUCAAGACUGUCCUCUACCCUAAACUAGUUGUCAUCACUCCAUCUUUUGUACUGCUGUUGACACUUACCAAUUAAAGAUAAAUUUUGUUUUAUGA
rnacentral:lncRNA from 1 species